CCUACGGGUGGCAGCAGUGAGGAAUAUUGGUCAAUGGGCGCGAGCCUGAACCAGCCAAGUCGCGUGAGGGAGGACGGCCCUACGGGUUGUAAACCUCUUUUGCCGGGGAGCAAAGGGCGUCACGUGUGGCGCCACUGAGAGUACCCGGAGAAAAUGCAUCGGCUAACUCCGUGCCAGCAGCCGCGGUAAUACGGAGGAUGCGAGCGUUAUCCGGAUUGAUUGGGUUUAAAGGGUGUGUAGGCGGAUCGUUAAGUCAGUGGUCAAAUUGAGGGGCCCAACCCCUGCCCGCCAUUGGAACUGGCGCGCUUGAGGGGAAGAGAAGUAUGCGGAAUGCGUGGGGUAGCGGUGAAAUGCAUAGAUAUCACGCAGAACCCCGAGUGCGAAGGCAGCAUGCCGGCUUCCGACUGACGCUGAAGCACGAAAGCGUGGGGAUCGAACAGGAUUAGAUACCCUGGUAGUCC
rnacentral:rRNA from 1 species